GGGNGCUCUCCCNUAUGGUCGACCUGCAGGCGGCCGCGAAUUCACUAGUGAUUAGAGUUUGAUCCUGGCUCAGAUUGAACGCUGGCGGCGUGCUUAACACAUGCAAGUCGAACGUGAAAGUCCUUCGGGGCGAGUAAAGUGGCGCACGGGUGAGUAACGCGUGGAUAAUCUACCCUUAAGAUGGGGAUAACGGCUGGAAACGGUCGCUAAUACCGAAUACGCUCCCGAUUUUAUCGUUGGGGGGAAAGAUGGCCUCUGCUUGCAAGCUAUCGCUUAAGGAUGAGUCCGCGUCCCAUUAGCUAGUUGGCGGGGUAACGGCCCACCAAGGCGACGAUGGGUAGCCGGUCUGAGAGGAUGACCGGCCACACUGGAACUGGAACACGGUCCAGACUCCUACGGGAGGCAGCAGUGGGGAAUAUUGCGCAAUGGGGGCAACCCUGACGCAGCAAUACCGCGUGAGUGAAGAAGGUUUUCGGAUCGUAAAGCUCUGUUAUUGGGGAAGAAAACAUGACGGUACCCAAUGAGGAAGUCCCGGCUAACUACGUGCCAGCAGCCGCGGUAAUACGUAGGGGACAAGCGUUGUCCGGAAUGACUGGGCGUAAAGGGCGCGUAGGCGGUCUGAUAAGUCAGAUGUGAAAGGUACCGGCUCAACCGGUGACGUGCAUUUGAAACUGUCAGACUUGAGUAUUGGAGAGGCAAGUGGAAUUCCUAGUGUAGCGGUGAAAUGCGUAGAUAUUAGGAGGAACACCAGUGGCGAAGGCGGCUUGCUGGACAAAUACUGACGCUGAGGUGCGAAAGCGUGGGGAGCGAACAGGAUUAGAUACCCUGGUAGUCCACGCCGUAAACGAUGAAUGCUAGGUGUUGGGGAAACUCAGUGCCGCAGUUAACACAAUAAGCAUUCCGCCUGGGGAGUACGACCGCAAGGUUGAAACUCAAAGGANNUGACGGGGACCCGCACAAGCAGCGGANCAUGUGGUUU
rnacentral:rRNA from 1 species